UGGGGUAUAGCAUAAAUUAAUGUAUCUCACUUACAUUGAGAUGAUAGCCUUAGGGCUUGCCCUUA
rnacentral:tRNA from 1 species